UGUCCUACGGGAGGCAGCAGUGGGGAAUAUUGCACAAUGGGGGAAACCCUGAUGCAGCAACGCCGCGUGAGUGAAGAAGUAUUUCGAUAUGUAAAGCUCUAUCAGCAGGGAAGAAGAUGACGGUACCUGAGUAAGAAGCCCCGGCUAACUACGUGCCAGCAGCCGCGGUAAUACGUAGGGGGCAAGCGUUAUCCGGAUUUACUGGGUGUAAAGGGUGUGUAGGCGGUGUAGCAAGUUAGAAGUGAAAUACCUAGAGCUUAACUCAGGUGCUGCUUCUAAAACUGCUAUACUUGAGUGCAGUAGAG
rnacentral:rRNA from 1 species